rnacentral:rRNA from 1 species
UCUUGGUUCAGAACGAACGCUGGCGGCAGGCCUAACACAUGCAAGUCGAGCGCGCCCUUCGGGGUGAGCGGCGGACGGGUUAGUAACGCGUGGGAACGUACCCUUUGGUAGGGAAUAGCCACUGGAAACGGUGAGUAAUACCCUAUGAGCCCUUCGGGGGAAAGAUUUAUCGCCAAAGGAUCGGCCCGCGUUAGAUUAGGUAGUUGGUGGGGUAAUGGCCUACCAAGCCUACGAUCUAUAGCUGGUUUUAGAGGAUGAUCAGCAACACUGGGACUGAGACACGGCCCAGACUCCUACGGGAGGCAGCAGUGGGGAAUCUUGGACAAGUGGGGGCAACCCUGAUACCCAGCCAUGCCGCGUGAGUGAAGAAGGCCUUAGGGUACGUAAAGCUCUUUCGCCUGUGAAGAUAAUGACGGUAGCAGGUAAAGAAACCCCGGCUAACUCCGUGCCAGCCGCUGC